rnacentral:rRNA from 1 species
UCAGGACGAACGCUGGCGGCGUGCCUAAUACAUGCAAGUCGAACGGUCUUUCUAUGGAAGCUUGCUUCCACUGAGAAGAUAGUGGCGAACGGGUGAGUAACACGUGGGUAACCUGCCCAUAAGAGGGGGAUAACAUCCGGAAACGGGUGCUAAUACCGCAUAGUUUUCUUGAUCGCAUGAUCGGGAAAGGAAAGACGGCCUUUGUGCUGUCGCUUAUGGAUGGACCCGCGGCGUAUUAGUUAGUUGGUGAGGUAACGGCUCACCAAGACGAUGAUACGUAGCCGACCUGAGAGGGUGAUCGGCCACAUUGGGACUGAGACACGGCCCAAACUCCUACGGGAGGCAGCAGUAGGGAAUCUUCCGCAAUGGACGAAAGUCUGACGGAGCAACGCCGCGUGAGUGAAGAAAAGGGUUUUCGGAUCGUAAAACUCUGUUGUCAGAGAAGAACAAGUUGGAGAGUAACUGCUCCAGCCUUGACGGUAUCUGACCAGAAAGCCACGGCUAACUACGUGCCAGCCGCAGC